UACGUAGGGGGCAAGCGUUGUCCGGAAUCAUUGGGCGUAAAGAGCGCGUAGGCGGCCCAGUAAGUCCGCUCUGAAAGUCAGGGGGCUCAACCCCUGAAUGCGGGUGGAUACUGCUGGGCUAGAGUCCGGAAGAGGCGAGUGGAAUUCCUGGUGUAGCGGUGAAAUGCGCAGAUAUCAGGAGGAACACCGAUGGCGAAGGCAGCUCGCUGGGACGGUACUGACGCUGAGACGCGAAAGCGUGGGGAGCGAACAGG
rnacentral:rRNA from 1 species